rnacentral:rRNA from 1 species
CAUAGCGACUAUCGUGGCAUAUCAAUAAGCGGAGGAAAAGAAACUAACAAGGAUUCCCUUAGUAACGGCGAGUGAAGCGGGAAGAGCUCAAAUUUGAAAUCUUCAAGGUUCUACCUUGACGAAUUGUAGUUUAUAGAAGUGUUUUCUGUUAGUAGAGUGGCAAAAGUUCUUUGGAAUAGGGCAUCAUAGAGGGUGAGAAUCCCGUAUUUGGUCAUUCUUUCUAGCUUUGUGAUACACUUUCAACGAGUCGGAUUGUUUGGGAAUGCAGUCCAAAAUGGGUGGUAAAUUUCAUCUAAAGCUAAAUAUUGGCGAGAGACCGAUAGCGAACAAGUACCGUGAGGGAAAGAUGAAAAGAACUUUGAAAAGAGAGUUAAACAGUACGUGAAAUUGUCAAAAGGGAAGCGUUUGACACCAGUGUUGUUUUUCCGAAAAUCAAUUACGAAUGUUUUAUUUUUGAGAAGUUAUGACUUCAUCGGCUUGCUCUCUUCUUUAUGAAACUUUCUUAAUGCACUUUUCGGUUAACAAGUCAACAUCAAUUUCUUUUGUUGUAAAAGGGUAUGAGGAAGGUGGCUUUCUUUUCGGAGAAAGUGUUUAUAGCCUUGUACCUCUGCAAUCGGAGAGAUUGAGGUCUGCAGCGUAGAUCCUUCGGGGUUAGAUACAUUUGUGCUAAGUUAUAGCUUUUCAUAGACAACUUGUUGACUAUGUUUAGUCUUGUAGCUUACUCGCUUAUGCUAUUUUACCUACGCUUAGGAUGUUGAUAUGCAUGACUGAUA